rnacentral:lncRNA from 1 species
AAAGAGAAGUGUUGGCGCCAGGUCAGGCAACCUGUGCUGAGCAGGCAAGCACUGAUUGGUUGACCUAGGCCUUCCUUUUCGGGGAGAACUGGCAUAGAAAUUUAGUAAAGUUUUGUUUUGCUGAUGUGAGGCUUAGCAUGAGUGACUCCAUCUUGAGCCUAAUGUGGUUUCUUUAACACUGGGAAGCCAACAUCUUCAGGGGCAUCCACCCACACGUCCUCAACCCACGUAGCAGAGUCCCGCGUUACCCCAAAUAGCGCUCUGACCUUGACAUAAACUGCCUCAGCUGAGCGUUCCAUCAUCUUUGAAGCAGGCAGUAACACCAGAUGUUGACCUCAUUUGCAUCAGUAGUAUGAACACCUUCUAUACUAAACAAGAAGAUUAGCCCUGAGCUAACAUCUGCUGCCAAUCCUCACCUUUUUUUCUGAGGAAGACUGGCCCUGAGCUAACAUUCGUGCUCAUCUUCCUCUACUUUAUAUGUGGGACGCCUGCCACAGCAUGGCUCAACAAGCAGUGCAUGGGUCUGCACCCAGGAUCCGAACUGCUGAACCCCGGGCUGCCGAAGCAGAACAUGUGAACUCCACUGCUGCACCAGCAGGUGGGAGUCAAGAGAGUGCACACAGAAUAUAAAGCCCCUUCUCAGGAACACAUUUAAAAGCCUGACGUGGCCUGUCCAGCAUGUGUUGUACAUCUGCUUUAAACAUUUACAACAUCCCAAAGCCAAAAGUGAUGCCCUUAAAGACAGAAAUGUAUGCCUCCCCCUAUAUCAGCAUUUCUUUAAAGAUAAGCAUUUCUUCCCAGAAACUAAGGGCCAAACUGACCUACUGUGCUCAUCUUUGACCACUGACUGCUGUGCUAGCAAAACGUCUUAUGACUGUAGUAAGAGAGAUGUUCCUAUCAUACUUGAUGUAUGUUCCUUGUUCCAAGAAGGUAUAUAGGCAUACUGUGCACCUCACUUCUUCAGAGUGCUUCCUUCCUUGGUGAAGGUGUUCUCCUGGGCAAUAUAGACCUCAAAACUGGCUCAUAUGAUAAACUCACCCCAAUUUUGAUUUAUAGAUUGAUUAUUUAUUAUUUGCCUGGAUAG